UGAUAGGCCAGGGGCCAGAUACCAACUUUAAAGAGGGGAUGAACAUUAUCCGGCACACAGCACAUGACCAAGCCAGAAACAGGGCUGCCUGCAAGUUCAUUGUUCGUGUGGAGGUCCUCAAGCCCCCUCUCCAUGGUUACCUCACCUGUGACUCUGAUGGGAACAACUACGGGGCGGUGUGCGAGUACCACUGUGACAGGGGCCAGGAGAGGAGGGGGAUCUCCAGCCGUGUAUGCCAGUUCGACCACAGCUGGACUGAGGCCCCUGCUGAGUGCGUCCGUUAGUAUUGAGAACCAAUGACAGAGCAUGGCCAUCUGGUUUGUUGUCUUCAACUGAACCCAUACAUGUAAAGUGAUUAUACCAACAACCAUACUGUUUUUGAUGGUGUGUGCAUGUGUACUGUGCAAUAGAGUUUAAAACAGAUGUGGAUACAGCUUCUGGCCUCCUGGACCGGUUCUACGAGAAGAGGAGGCUUCUGAUUGUGUCGGCACCUAACGUAGCCCAUGGAGACUACAAGCUCCAGAACCUUAUGGUACAGAAAGCAGAUUGUGGUCUGGACAUAAGAGGAGUGACAGUGAUUGAGCUGCUAGGGUCCCCUCCUCGAGAAGUGGGCCACAUCAAGGGAUGUCACCUGGACACUGAGGUCAUUGAGGGUCUG